rnacentral:lncRNA from 1 species
GAAACAGAAAGGGUCCCUUUCUCCCUGGCUCCUCCAGCAGCGCAAUGUGAUCCACCGGCAAGGAGGGACGCCAAUAAGAUGUGGAGGAAUAUGCAUAUGAGCGCCGCUGCCCUUGGAGUCCAGAAGACGUGUCAGACGCCCUGGAGCUGGACUUACAGUGAGCCACCUUAUAGGUGUCCUGGGAACCAAAUUCUGGUCCUCUGCAAGAACAGAAUGUACUCUUAACUCCUGAGCCAUCUCUCCAGACCCCUGGAUAAAGUUUUUGAAUGAAGCUCUUCGUCUCCCACUCUGCCUCCCAAACCCCAUCCUUAUCUCAAAGACCCAAGCCACAGCCUGUCCUUGAUGGCAUCUUCAUCCAUUUGUUGCACCGUGAGUUUCCUUAAUAAGUUUGCUUUUACCUUUAGCGUGCUCAGUGCUGCCAAACUGUGAGUGUACAGGGCUCUAUUUAGCUGGGAGGCUGCUUACCAUGUAGCUUGGCAUUAAAAGAUGAGCUGGGCCAGUCCAAUUCCCUCUCCUGGGAAUUUGAACUGUGAAAUACUGAGAGACUGGAGCAGUUAGCAGAGGUGAUGUAGAGGGAGACUCAAAGAGGCCGGCUGGUCAAAUGCAAGCCACAGUUAUGAGAAAUUAUGAGGAAACCCGGGGAAGCUUUCAUGAGGGUCAGAGUAGUUAUGAGCUGGAGCUCUGGAGGCCAACCUGAGGGGGAAUCCCGACUUUACCAUCUCCUGGCUUGAAUACAGACAGGUAACCUAACAUUCGGGAGCCUUUGUGUUCUUGUAUGUAAAAUGGGACAGCAAAAUUAGCUAACCUCACAGUAAGGCAAUUAACUGAGCAGAACAUGGACUCUUGAGUCUGACUCAGGGCAUGAAAAGGAUUAUUUCUUUUCCUCCCAUAGCAAUAGUAGUAAUAAUAACUAUUUAAUCAAUCAUAAUAUUUAAUUAAUAUUGCCAAUUAUUAAUUAACAAUAACAAUAAUUGAUAAUACUAAUGAGGAGAGAUACAUAUGGGGGGGGGAAGGUCCCACGGAGUGCCUGGGUCUUACCAGAGCCCUCUCUGUCCCUUCAUGCCUUCCAUACCCACUUCCAAGGACAAACCAUAGACUCCAAACCAUAGCCACCAACAGCUCUCUUCUUGUUGCUUGGAUGGCCCCUAUGUCUUGCAAUGAGAGGGACCUGCCCAG